UACGUAGGGGGCUAGCGUUGUCCGGAAUCAUUGGGCGUAAAGAGCGUGUAGGCGGCCCGGUAAGUCCGCUGUGAAAGUCGGGGGCUCAACCCUCGAAUGCCGGUGGAUACUGUCGGGCUAGAGUGCGGAAGAGGCGAGUGGAAUUCCUGGUGUAGCGGUGAAAUGCGCAGAUAUCAGGAGGAACACCAAUUGCGAAGGCAGCUCGCUGGGACGUAACUGACGCUGAGACGCGAAAAGCGUGGGGGAGCAAACAGG
rnacentral:rRNA from 1 species